rnacentral:rRNA from 1 species
GACGAACGCUGGCGGCGUGCUUAACACAUGCAAGUCGAACGAAGAGCGAUGGAAGCUUGCUUCUAUCAAUCUUAGUGGCGAACGGGUGAGUAACGCGUAAUCAACCUGCCCUUCAGAGGGGGACAACAGUUGGAAACCACUGCUAAUACCGCAUACGAUCUAAUCUCGGCAUCGAGGAUAGAUGAAAGGUGGCCUCUACAUGUAAGCUAUCACUGAAGGAGGGGAUUGCGUCUGAUUAGCUAGUUGGAGGGGUAACGGCCCACCAAGGCGAUGAUCAGUAGCCGGUCUGAGGGGAUGAACGGCCACAUUGGGACUGAGACACGGCCCAGACUCCUACGGGAGGCAGCAGUGGGGAAUCUUCCGCAAUGGACGAAAGUCUGACGGAGCAACGCCGCGUGAGUGAUGACGGCCUUCGGGUUGUAAAGCUCUGUUAAUCGGGACGAAAGGCCUUCUUGCGAAUAGUGAGAAGGAUUGACGGUACCGGAAUAGAAAGCCACGGCUAACUACGUG